UGGGGAAUAUUGCACAAUGGGCGAAAGCCUGAUGCAGCAACGCCGCGUGAGUGAUGAAGGUCUUCGGAUUGUAAAGCUCUGUCUUUUGGGACGAUAAUGACGGUACCAAAGGAGGAAGCCACGGCUAACUACGUGCCAGCAGCCGCGGUAAUACGUAGGUGGCGAGCGUUGUCCGGAUUUACUGGGCGUAAAGGGUGCGUAGGCGGAUGUUUAAGUGAGAUGUGAAAUACCCGGGCUUAACUUGGGUGCUGCAUUUCAAACUGGAUAUCUAGAGUGCAGGAGAGGAGAAUGGAAUUCCUAGUGUAGCGGUGAAAUGCGUAGAGAUUAGGAAGAACACCAGUGGCGAAGGCGAUUCUCUGGACUGUAACUGACGCUGAGGCACGAAAGCGUGGGUAGCAAACAGGAUUAGAUACCCUGGUAGUCCACGCCGUAAACGAUGAGUACUAGGUGUAGGAGGUAUCGACCCCUUCUGUGCCGCAGUAAACACAUUAGGUACUCCGCCUGGGAAGUACGAUCGCAAGAUUAAAACUCUAAGUGAAUUGAC
rnacentral:rRNA from 1 species